GAUGAACGCUGGCGGUCUGCUUAACACAUGCAAGUCGAACGCAACCUUCGGGUUGAGUGGCGGACGGGUGAGUAACGCGUGAGAAUCUGCCUUGGGGUCGGGGACAACCACUGGAAACGGUGGCUAAUACCGGAUACGCCUUCGGGUAAAAGAUUUAUUGCCCUAAGAGGAGCUCGCGUCUGAUUAGCUAGUUGGUGAGGUAAGAGCUCACCAAGGCAGCGAUCGGUAGCUGGUCUGAGAGGACGAUCAGCCACACUGGGACUGAGACACGGCCCAGACUCCUACGGGAGGCAGCAGUGGGGAAUUUUCCGCAAUGGGCGAAAGCCUGACGGAGCAAGACCGCGUGAGGGAGGAAGGCUCUUGGGUUGUAAACCUCUUUUCUCAGGGAAGAAGCUCUGACGGUACCUGAGGAAUCAGCCUCGGCUAACUCCGUGCCAGCAGCCGCGGUAAUGCGGAGGAGGCAAGCGUUAUCCGGAAUUAUUGGGCGUAAAGCGUCCGCAGGUGGCGAUUCAAGUCUGCUGUCAAAGCACGGGGCUUAACUCCGUAAAGGCAGUGGAAACUGAAUAGCUAGAGUGCCGUAGGGGUAGAGGGAAUUCCCGGUGUAGCGGUGAAAUGCGUAGAGAUCGGGAAGAACAUCGGUGGCGAAAGCGCUCUACUGGACGGCAACUGACACUCAGGGACGAAAGCUAGGGGAGCGAAUGGGAUUAGAUACCCCAGUAGUCCUAGCUGUAAACGAUGGAUACUAGGUGUAGCUUGUAUCGACCCGAGCUGUGCCGAAGCUAACGCGUUAAGUAUCCCGCCUGGGGAGUACGCACGCAAGUGUGAAACUCAAAGGAAUUGACGGGGGCCCGCACAAGC
rnacentral:rRNA from 1 species